GAUGAACGCUGGCGGCGUGCCUAAUACAUGCAAGUCGAGCGAACAGACGAGGAGCUUGCUCCUCUGACGUUAGCGGCGGACGGGUGAGUAACACGUGGAUAACCUACCUAUAAGACUGGGAUAACUUCGGGAAACCGGAGCUAAUACCGGAUAAUAUAUUGAACCGCAUGGUUCAAUAGUGAAAGACGGUUUUGCUGUCACUUAUAGAUGGAUCCGCGCCGCAUUAGCUAGUUGGUAAGGUAACGGCUUACCAAGGCAACGAUGCGUAGCCGACCUGAGAGGGUGAUCGGCCACACUGGAACUGAGACACGGUCCAGACUCCUACGGGAGGCAGCAGUAGGGAAUCUUCCGCAAUGGGCGAAAGCCUGACGGAGCAACGCCGCGUGAGUGAUGAAGGUCUUCGGAUCGUAAAACUCUGUUAUUAGGGAAGAACAAAUGUAUAAGUAACUAUGCACGUCUUGACGGUACCUAAUCAGAAAGCCACGGCUAACUACGUG
rnacentral:rRNA from 1 species